rnacentral:rRNA from 1 species
GACGAACGCUGGCGGCGUGCUUAACACAUGCAAGUCGAACGGAAAGGCCCUGCUUUUGUGGGGUGCUCGAGUGGCGAACGGGUGAGUAACACGUGAGUAACCUGCCCUUGACUUUGGGAUAACUUCAGGAAACUGGGGCUAAUACCGGAUAGGAGCUCCUGCUGCAUGGUGGGGGUUGGAAAGUUUCGGCGGUUGGGGAUGGACUCGCGGCUUAUCAGCUUGUUGGUGGGGUAGUGGCUUACCAAGGCUUUGACGGGUAGCCGGCCUGAGAGGGUAACCGGCCACAUUGGGACUGAGAUACGGCCCAGACUCCUACGGGAGGCAGCAGUGGGGAAUAUUGCACAAUGGGCGGAAGCCUAAUGCAGCAACGCCGCGUGCGGGAUGACGGCCUUCGGGUUGUAAACCGCUUUCGCCUGUGACGAAGCGUGAGUGACGGUAAUGGGUAAAGAAGCACCGGCUAACUACGUG